rnacentral:rRNA from 1 species
UACGGAGGGUGCGAGCGUUAAUCGGAAUUACUGGGCGUAAAGGGUGCGUAGGUGGUUUAAUAAGUUAGCUGUGAAAUUCCUGGGCUUAACCUGGGGUGGUCAGCUAAGACUGUUAGGCUUUGAGUAUAGGAGAGGGUAGUGGAAUUUCCGGUGUAGCGGUGAAAUGCGUAGAGAUCGGAAGGAACACCAGUGGCGAAGGCGGCUACCUGGCCUAAUACUGACACUGAGGCACGAAAGCGUGGGGAGCAAACAGG